rnacentral:rRNA from 1 species
GGAGUAAUACAUCGGAACGUGUCCUAUCUGGGGGAGUAACUGAUCGAAAGAUCAGCUAAUACCGCAUAAGACCUGAGGGUGAAAGUGGGGGAGUCGCAAGACCUCACGCGAUUGGAGCGGCCGAUGCCCGAUUAGCUAGUUGGUGAGGUAAAGGCUCACCAAGGCGACGAUCGGUAGCUGGUCUGAGAGGACGACCAGCCACACUGGGACUGAGACACGGCCCAG